UACGUAGGGGGCUAGCGUUGUCCGGAUUUAUUGGGCGUAAAGAGCGUGUAGGCGGCCAGGUAGGUCUGCUGUGAAAACUCGAGGCUCAACCUCGAGACGUCGGCGGAAACCAUCUGGCUAGAGUCCGGAAGAGGAGAGUGGAAUUCCUGGUGUAGCGGUGAAAUGCGCAGAUAUCGUAAGGAAGACCAGUGGCGAAGGCGGGUCUUUGGACAGUUCCUGACGCUGAGGCACGAAGGUCAGGGGAGCAAACGGG
rnacentral:rRNA from 1 species